GCAAGUCGAGCGAACAGAUAAGGAGCUUGCUCCUUUGACGUUAGCGGCGGACGGGUGAGUAACACGUGGGUAACCUACCUAUAAGACUGGGAUAACUUCGGGAAACCGGAGCUAAUACCGGAUAACAUUUGGAACCGCAUGGUUCUAAAGUGAAAGAUGGUUUUGCUAUCACUUAUAGAUGGACCCGCGCCGUAUUAGCUAGUUGGUAAGGUAACGGCUUACCAAGGCGACGAUACGUAGCCGACCUGAGAGGGUGAUCGGCCACACUGGAACUGAGACACGGUCCAGACUCCUACGGGAGGCAGCAGUAGGGAAUCUUCCGCAAUGGGCGAAAGCCUGACGGAGCAACGCCGCGUGAGUGAUGAAGGGUUUCGGCUCGUAAAACUCUGUUAUUAGGGAAGAACAAAUGUGUAAGUAACUGUGCACGUCUUGACGGUACCUAAUCAGAAAGCCACGGCUAACUACGUGCCAGCAGCCGCGGUAAUACGUAGGUGGCAAGCGUUAUCCGGAAUUAUUGGGCGUAAAGCGCGCGUAGGCGGUUUCUUAAGUCUGAUGUGAAAGCCCACGGCUCAACCGUGGAGGGUCAUUGGAAACUGGGAAACUUGAGUGCAGAAGAGGAAAGUGGAAUUCCAUGUGUAGCGGUGAAAUGCGCAGAGAUAUGGAGGAACACCAGUGGCGAAGGCGACUUUCUGGUCUGUAACUGACGCUGAUGUGCGAAAGCGUGGGGAUCAAACAGGAUUAGAUACCCUGGUAGUCCACGCCGUAAACGAUGAGUGCUAAGUGUUAGGGGGUUUCCGCCCCUUAGUGCUGCAGCUAACGCAUUAAG
rnacentral:rRNA from 1 species